AGUGAACACUGGCGGUAGACCUAACACAUGCAAGUCGAACGGCAGCACAGUAAGAGCUUGCUCUUACGGGUGGCGAGUGGCGGACGGGUGAGGAAUACAUCGGAAUCUACUUUUUCGUGGGGGAUAACGUAGGGAAACUUACGCUAAUACCGCAUACGACCUACGGGUGAAAGCAUGGGAUCUUCGGACCUUGCGCGAUUGAAUGAGCCGAUGUCGGAUUAGCUAGUUGGCGGGGUAAAGGCCCACCAAGGCGACGAUCCGUAGCUGGUCUGAGAGGAUGAUCAGCCACACUGGAACUGAGACACGGUCCAGACUCCUACGGGAGGCAGCAGUGGGGAAUAGUGGACAAUGGGCGCAAGCCUGAUCCAGCCAUACCGCGUGGGUGAAGAAGGCCUUCGGGUUGUAAAGCCCUUUUGUUGGGAAAGAAAAGCAGCAGGUUAAUACCCCGCUGUUCUGACGGUACCCAAAGAAUAAGCACCGGCUAACUUCGU
rnacentral:rRNA from 1 species